CAGGUUGAACGGGGAUCUGUAUCUCAAGUGAGCGGACGCUAGGCUGCUCAGCUCGCUCCUCCCUAUUACCUGUAAGACCUCUUGAGGAACCUUUUCGCUCUUCAGCUUGCUCAGUACAAAUUCCUUCACCUUAAUAACAUCUUUGUUCCAUUCUUCGUCUGCAAACAAAUAAUCAUAAUAUAUAUAUAUAUAUAAAAGAAAUCCAAACAUGCAAGCGGGCAGUGGAGGAAGUCACACCAUUUGCUCCGGCAGCCCAUGUGAAGAACCAGUACAUGCUGUUGUCAUCGCAGGGCAACAACCCUGCUCGAUAGCCUCUCCCGAAGUACUGCGCAAACUCCGGCUUGAAUCCGUGCCCCUCUUCAAACACGGCGAAGCCUCUUGCUGCGUAGCGCCCGGAGAAGGUCGGCUCCUUGAGGCCCAGCCAUUUGGCUACAGUGGAGUUGAUCCCAUCGCAGCCGAUCAAGACCUGCAGAAACCAUGCAAACCAAUGGUGCGGAAACUGAUCUCCCUCUCCGAUUGCUCUUUCUCAG
rnacentral:lncRNA from 1 species